UUUCAGUUUGGUGCUCAAUAGCAUUAAGCCAGUGCGACCAAAUGAUCUGAAUUCCUCCAUUGGUUUAUGCAUACGGAUGUUUGAACAUUUCUCCUCCCCGUUUGUCCCUAAAUUUAGUCUUCAUAUUUCUGGUGCUAAAAGCAAAGGUCACUCCCAGAACCAGGUGGGAUUCAUCACUUAGGACCAAGAUUGGGUGGGGUGAGGGGAGAAAGUGUGUCUGCCAGAGUGGUGAGCCUGUAGAAUCCUGCAUAACAGCAGGUGAGACCACACUGUUUUGACAUCAGAUGUUCUUUAGGCUAAAGGGCAGAGGAAGGAAGUGGGAGCUGGAUAUUGAGCUGAAUGAUCAGCUGUGAUCAUUGGGUGUACUCUUCAAUCCAAUGCUUAAUGGCCAACUGCGUGUAUUGUUUCUCCUCGGGCUAAUGUUUCUCCUGUCUUUCACACAC